GCAAUAGCUGAUAAAGCCGUCGCUGCCAAAAACACAGUAGCUUCCAAGCUCGGAUAUGGUGCCGACACCGAAACAACUCAAACAAACACAAGCAGCGAAAGACCAUCAACAAUCUCUUCAGCAACCUCUGCAAUAGCUGAUAAAGCUGUCACUGCCAAGAAUACUGUUGCUUCAAAGCUUGGAUAUGGUCCUGAAACAACACACCAAGAAGAAAAGCAAUCGGCAAUCUCUUCGGCAACCUCUGCAAUAGCUGACAAAGCUGUCACUGCCAAAAACACCGUAGCUUCAAAGCUCGGAUAUGGUCCUAAAACAACUCAUCGGGAAGAGGAAAAACCAUCGACAAUUUCUGCGGCAACCUCUGCAAUAGCUGAUAAAGCUGUCAAUGCCAAAAACACCGUAGCUUCAAAGCUCGGAUAUGGUCCUGAAACAACUCGUCGGGAAGAAGAAAAACAGUCAACAAUCUCUGCGGCAACCUCUGCAAUAGCUGAUAAAGCUGUCACUGCCAAAAACACCGUAGCUUCAAAGCUCGGAUAUGGUCCUGAAACGACUCAACGGGAAGAACAAAAACCAUCCGCAAUCUCUUCAGCAACCUCGGCCAUAGCUGACACAGCUGUCUCAGCCAAAAACACCGUUGCCUCCAAGCUCGGGUAUGGUGCUGACACUGAAACAGUUCAAGCAAAGCAUCACGAAGAAAAACCAUCAACAGUCUCUGCAGCCACCUCUGCGAUAGCUAAUAAAGCUGCCUCAGCCAAGAACACAGUAGCUUCAAAGCUCGGAUACGGUGCCAACACAGAAACAACACAAACAAAGAACUACCAAGAAAAUACAAGCAAUGAACAGCCAUCAACAAUUUCUUUAGCAACCUCAGCAGUAGCUGAUAAAGCUAUCUCAGCCAAAAACACCGUAGCUUCCAAGCUGGGUUUCGGUGACACAACAACAGCACAUGAAGAGAAGAGAAGAGAUCAUGCUGCUGCACCAACUGAAUAUGGAAAGAGUGUAGCUCAGUCUCUGACAGAGAACCUAGGU
rnacentral:lncRNA from 1 species